rnacentral:sRNA from 1 species
AAAAGGCUGCUCCGGAACUGCCCUACUUUAGACUUUUUCAUGGUUAUCAAUCUGUACAAAGAAUCACCAAACUGAUAAAGCAGGAACCAGAGGGCAAAUCACGCUGCCAAGACAACUGUGUAAUUCGCUCGAAAAAGAAACGGAGGCACCCCUUAUGAAAGUAAUAUUUGAAGACAAUAAAACUGACAGUGCAAUUUAAGAUGGCUAGACCAGAGCAGAGACCAGAAGCUAAGGGGCCCCAUGCUGUGUAAAUACUGGCACACAGGUCUGGCAGAAGGAACAGUAUCAACUGACCGAGUAGGUGUCACUGGCAGUUGUGAUUCAGAGACCUAGAAAGCUGAACCCAUGCCUGGCAAGAAGAGGAUGGUUUGUGGGACCUGGGCUGAUGUCUGAUGAAAUUUUAAGCCCCAGCUAUAGCUACUACAAAGAAAAGUGGCU